ensembl:snoRNA SNORD39 Small nucleolar RNA SNORD55/SNORD39
CGAGUAGCUAUGAUGAAGCUUUUUUGCUGCUUUCCGAGCAACGUGUGUGGAAAACAACCUUGGAGAGCUGAGCACUCG